rnacentral:rRNA from 1 species
UACGGGGGGGGCAAGCGUUGUUCGGAAUUACUGGGCGUAAAGGGCGCGUAGGCGGCCUGCUAAGUCGAACGUGAAAUCCCCGGGCUCAACCCGGGAACUGCGUCCGAUACUGGCAGGCUUGAAUCCGGGAGAGGGAUGCGGAAUUCCAGGUGUAGCGGUGAAAUGCGUAGAUAUCUGGAGGAACACCGGUGGCGAAGGCGGCAUCCUGGACCGGCAUUGACGCUGAGGCGCGAAAGCCAGGGGAGCGAACGGG